rnacentral:rRNA from 1 species
GUUUGAUCAUGGCUCAGAACGAACGCUGGCGGCAUGCCUAACACAUGCAAGUCGAACGCCUAUAGCAAUAUAGGAGUGGCGCACGGGUGAGUAACGCGUGGGAACCUGCCCCGAGGUGGGGGAUAACCGAUGGAAACGUCGGCUAAUACCGCAUACGACCUGAGGGUGAAAGAUUUAUCGCCUUGGGAGGGGCCCGCGUCGGAUUAGCUAGUCGGUGGGGUAACGGCCUACCAAGGCGAUGAUCCGUAGCUGGUCUGAGAGGAUGAUCAGCCACACUGGGACUGAGACACGGCCCAGACUCCUACGGGAGGCAGCAGUGGGGAAUAUUGGACAAUGGGCGCAAGCCUGAUCCAGCAAUGCCGCGUGAGUGAUGAAGGCCUUAGGGUUGUAAAGCUCUUUCGGCGGGGACGAUGAUGACGGUACCCGCAGAAGAAGCCCCGGCUAACUUCGUGCCAGCAGCCGCGGUAAUAA